rnacentral:rRNA from 1 species
UAAGGAAUAUUGGUCAAUGGACGCAAGUCUGAACCAGCCAUGCCGCGUGGAGGAUGAAGGUCCUCUGGAUUGUAAACUUCUUUUAUCUGGGACGAAACACUUCUUUUCUAAGAGGCCUGACGGUACCAGAUGAAUAAGCACCGGCUAACUCCGUGCCAGCAGCCGCGGUAAUACGGAGGGUGCAAGCGUUAUCCGGAUUCACUGGGUUUAAAGGGUGCGUAGGUGGGUAUGUAAGUCAGUGGUGAAAUCCCCGAGCUUAACUUGGGAACCGCCAUUGAUACUAUAUAUCUUGAAUACCGUAGAGGUAAGCGUAAUAUGUCAUGUAGCGGUGAAAUGCUUAGAUAUGACAUGGAACACCAAUUGCGAAGGCAGCUUACUAUGCGGUGAUUGACACUGAGGCACGAAAGCGUGGGUAGCAAACA